AGAGUUUGAUUCUGGCUCAGGAUGAACGCUGGCGGCGUGCUUAACACAUGCAAGUCGAACGGAACUCCUAUGAACGAGGUUUCGGCCAAGUGAAUAGGAUGUUUAGUGGCGGACGGGUGAGUAACGCGUGAGUAACCUGCCUUGGAGUGGGGAAUAACACAGUGAAAAUUGUGCUAAUACCGCAUAAUGCAUUUAGGUCGCAUGACUUUGAAUGCCAAAGAUUUAUCGCUCUGAGAUGGACUCGCGUCUGAUUAGCUAGUUGGCGGGGCAAUGGCCCACCAAGGCGACGAUCAGUAGCCGGACUGAGAGGUUGGCCGGCCACAUUGGGACUGAGACACGGCCCAG
rnacentral:rRNA from 1 species